AGCUGCCUCAGUUCCUCAUUUAGGGUGUAUUGGGCCCGGGGUGUGUCUCUAGUUUCUGGAGUCAACCCCUGAGAGGGAGCAGCAUUUGUCCCUGCACAGUAUGCUCCUGUGAUGUCAGGGGUGUUUUAGGCGAAUUGGUUUUAUAAAUCGGAGAAGCUCUGAAAAUGAAGUUGGAUCCCCUUUGCAGGACUCAUGCACACUUUCGGGGAGUCUGUGCUGUCGGAAGAGGGGCUGGCCUCAUCCCUGGCAGCUCCUGUUAUAACCUGGUGGUUGUUGAACAGGAAAGGAGGCAAGGGAAGGCCAGGUGUAUGGCUGCCCAGUAGAGGGAAGGGAAGCUCCGGACACUGGCCUCCCUCUGUCCUCCCUGAUCGCACAGCUGCACCUCUUCCAGGACUGGCCUCAGGGCCAGGAGACUUUGGAACCCGAAAAAUGUAACCACACACAACAACUAAAGCUCCUUCCGGUGCCCAUUCUCCCCCGCGGGUCUUAGAACAUUCAUGUGCUGAAGACAUCGCCAGCACCCCCCUCCCAGGGGGACACGGAGUUUGAUUCUCCGGUGACACGAUCAACGCAGAGGAGAUGGACAGAAGUCUGCAUGACACACCCCGCUGACCAUGCUUUCCCUACGCACCCCCUUAACUGCCCUCACACGCACGCGCACACGCGCACACGUGUUCCUUGCAGCUGGGGAUGAUGUUUAAGAUGGCGGCUUGGACCUUUCCUGGGCUACUCUGUCUUCUGGGGUCUCAUGUAUGCAGGGGGUUCACAAGUCACUAAACUACUGCUUUUCUACGGUU